UACACAGUAUCGACCAAUUCUGUUCGUAAUUAAAGCUUCUAGCUCUAGAUGGCACAUGGAAUUCCGUUUUAUGAAUUUCAUAGUGUAGCAAAUUAGUUGUUGGUUGUUGGUAUCAUUUUUCUACUAUUUUUAGCCGUGAUAUCUAAUUAAGCAAUAGAAAGAGGUUAAACUAAUAUUAGUUCUGCCCGGAGAAUGAGCUUUUCAAAAUGAUCUUUGAUAAUGAACCCAGUAAAUUGCUAACUGCCGAACUAGUAUAAUAUCCGCUGUUUCUUUGUGCGCAUUUCACUCACAGAUACUUUCAAUCUGACGGUACUAAUGUUAGUUGUUUUUCCACAAAAUAGCAAUUUAUCUUAAAAAUCCGAAUGAACCUGACAUGCGCCGUCGAGUUAUCGCAAACUGAACAAUCGGAAUACUUUGGUUCCUAUGGGAGAGCGGUACCUACUCCGUACUCGUUCGAGAUUCAAUUUAAUUUUAUCGUUUGUUUACUGUCCAAGCUUCAAGGAAACAUUCUACAUUAUUAAUACUUAGAAGCCGUACAUGUGCCUACUGAAUGGAAUCAAGCGCGGAAAGACAAUAAGAGUUUUAGUGCAAGUACCUACGUUGCAAAACUUUGCAGUGUUUUGUUGUGAUGCUUCAAAGUUCAAAGUCUAAGGCUCUGUUAAAAGUUGUAAAUAUUUGCGUUCAAAGUCGCACUGUGAAGAGUAUCGUGCACAAUCUGGAUUUCCUACACGGAUGACCAUGUCUGGACGACUUCCCGAGCCGGAUGCAGUAAGCAAACUGUCGCUACCCCUCGGCAGCGCUUCGCCCCCCGUCCUGUGGGGUGCUCGCCGCAAAUCAGGUAAUUUGAGAGUUUCGUUAAAAACUACGCAUUAAGUUUCGUCGCAUGUUACAACAGUUACGAAAUAACCUGAUAUGAAUAAACAUGGAAAUUGGCAAUUUUCCGAGCGAAGGAAAAGCUUUGGCGGUUUGUUCGUUCGCCCAGAAGUUGAUGCUACAUGCUAUAAUCGAAUUGGAAAUAAAUGCUUGCACAAUUCACUUGAUAAAAUAGUAACAACAGAGUUUCGCUUUAAUUCUAAGUAAUGACAUUUUUAUCUUACAGCAAAUAACAACAGAUUAGAAUUGCUUUUGAUAUAUUCUGAUGGAUGAGAAAGUUUCUAAUCAGAUGUU
rnacentral:lncRNA from 1 species